GUAACAGGAGGAUAACCGGAGGAAACUCCGACUAAUACUGCGUAGAAAUAAUUGGUGGCAUCACCGAGUGUUUAAAGGCGAAAGCCGGUUACGGAUAGGCUCGCGUGGACAUUAGCUAGAUGGCGGGGUAACGGCCCACCAUGGCGACGAUGUCUAGGGGUUCUGAGAGGAAGGUCCCCCACACUGGUACUGAGACACGGACCAGACUCCUACGGGAGGCAGCAGUGAGGAAUAUUGGACAAUGGUCGGAAGACUGAUCCAGCCAUGCCGCGUGAAGGCUAAGGUCCUAUGGAUUGUAAACUUCUUUUGUACGAGAGGAAUAAGGCGGACGAGUCCGUCGACGACAGUAUCGUACGAAUAAGCAUCGGCUAACUCCGUGCCAGCCGCCGC
rnacentral:rRNA from 1 species